rnacentral:tRNA from 1 species
GGAAUCGUAGCUUAAUAGGUAAAGCAUUGACCUGUCACGUCAAGUAUUGCGAGUUCGAAUCUCGUCUUUUCCG